CCGGAAUUGCUAGUAAUGGCAGGUCAGCAUACUGCCGUGAAUACGUUCCCGGGCCUUGUACACACCGCCCGUCACACCAUGAGAGUUGGGAAUACCCGAAGCCUGUGAGCUAACGUAAGAGGCAGCAGUCGAAGGUAGAAUCAAUGAUUGGGUGAAGUCGUAACAAGGUAGC
rnacentral:rRNA from 1 species